UACGUAGGGUGCGAGCGUUGUCCGGAAUUAUUGGGCGUAAAGAGCUCGUAGGCGGUUUGUCGCGUCUGCCGUGAAAAUCCGGGGCUCAACCCCGGACUUGCGGUGGGUACGGGCAGACUAGAGUGUGGUAGGGGAGACUGGAAUUCCUGGUGUAGCGGUGAAAUGCGCAGAUAUCAGGAGGAACACCGAUGGCGAAGGCAGGUCUCUGGGCCACUACUGACGCUGAGAAGCGAAAGCGUGGGGAGCGAACAGG
rnacentral:rRNA from 1 species